GCGAGGCCGGUGGGCGGGCGAGUCGGGAGGCUCGGGCGGCCGAGGUCCGGGAGCGGAUCCCAGGUGGCGGGAGCUGGUGCCCUGGCAGGAGGGACUGGCUUACGCCACCCUGCGCAGGAUCAUCUUCUCAGCUUACAGAGCCUAGUGUGAUUCAACAACCCUCCAUCUCUGCCCACAACAUGCCCA
rnacentral:lncRNA from 1 species